rnacentral:rRNA from 1 species
AGAGUUUGAUCCUGGCUCAGAUUGAACGCUGGCGGCAUGCCUUACACAUGCAAGUCGAACGGGCUUUGGGGCUUGCUCCAAAGUUAGUGGCGAACGGGUGAGUAAUAUAUCGGAACGUACCCUUGAGUGGGGGAUAACAUAGCGAAAGUUAUGCUAAUACCGCAUACGAUCUAAGGAUGAAAGUGGGGGACCGCAAGGCCUCACGCUCCUGGAGCGGCCGAUAUCUGAUUAGCUAGUUGGUGAGGUAAAGGCUCACCAAGGCUUCGAUCAGUAGCUGGUCUGAGAGGACGAUCAGCCACACUGGGACUGAGACACGGCCCAGACUCCUACGGGAG